rnacentral:rRNA from 1 species
UAAGGAAUAUUGGUCAAUGGACGCAAGUCUGAACCAGCCAUGCCGCGUGGAGGAUGAAGGCCCUCUGGGUUGUAAACUUCUUUUAUUUGGGACGAAACACUUCUUUUCUAAGGAGCUUGACGGUACCAGAUGAAUAAGCACCGGCUAACUCCGUGCCAGCAGCCGCGGUAAUACGGAGGGUGCAAGCGUUAUCCGGAUUCACUGGGUUUAAAGGGUGCGUAGGCGGACAUGUAAGUCCGUGGUGAAAUCUCUAAGCUUAACUUGGAAACUGCCAUGGAUACUAUAUGUCUUGAAUGUUGUGGAGGUUAGCGGAAUAUGUCAUGUAGCGGUGAAAUGCAUAGAUAUGACAUAGAACACCAAUUGCGAAGGCAGCUGGCUACACAAAUAUUGACGCUGAGGCACGAAAGCGUGGGGAUCAAACA